rnacentral:rRNA from 1 species
UGGGGAAUAUUGCACAAUGGAGGGAACUCUGAUGCAGCGACGCCGCGUGAACGAAGAAGGCUUUCGAGUCGUAAAGUUCUUUUAUAUGGGAAGAUAAUGACGGUACCAAAAGAAAAAGCCCCGGCUAACUACGUGCCAGCAGCCGCGGUAAUACGUAGGGGGCUAGCGUUGUCCGGAAUCACUGGGCGUAAAGGGUUCGCAGGCGGAAAUGCAAGUCAGGUGUAAAAGGCAGUAGCUUAACUACUGUAAGCAUUUGAAACUGCAUAUCUUGAGAAGAGUAGAGGUAAGUGGAAUUUUUAGUGUAGCGGUGAAAUGCGUAGAUAUUAAAAAGAAUACCGGUGGCGAAGGCGGCUUACUGGGCUCAUUCUGACGCUGAGGAACGAAAGCGUGGGUAGCAAACAGG